rnacentral:rRNA from 1 species
GCGUGCGCUCAGGCUGGCCAGCUCCAAUAGCGUAUAUUAAAGUUGUUGCAGUUAAAACGCUCGUAGUCUGAAGGGAUGGUGCUGUUCCUGGGGGUCUGAGAAGGCUUUUGGGGAUGGGAUUGUUUUUGGGAUGCUUUUUGGGUGUCCCGGAUUACUUUGAGGAAAUUAGAGUGUUCAAAGCAGGCGCUUGCUUGGAUACUGCAGCAUGGAAUAAUGGAAUAGGACUCGCGUCUUAUUUUGUUGGUUUGGGAGAUGUGAGUAAUGAUGAAUAGGGACAGUUGGGGGCAUUGGUAUUCAGUAGUCAGAGGUGAAAUUCUUGGAUUUACUGAAGACUAACUAGUGCGAAAGCAUUUGCCAAGGAUGUUUUCAUUGAUCAAGAACGAAAGUUAGGGGAUCGAAGACGAUUAGAUACCGUCGUAGUCUUAACCAUAAACGAUGCCGACUAGGGAUCGGCGGGGGACGUUUAGCGUUCUCGCCGGGACCUUGCGAGAAAUCAAAGUUUUUGGGUUCUGGGGGGAGUAUGGUCGCAAGGCUGAAACUUAAAGGAAUUGACGGAAGGGCACCACCAGGAGUGGAGCCUGCGGCUUAAUUCGACUCAAC